CCUACGGGUGGCAGCAGUGAGGAAUAUUGGUCAAUGGACGAGAGUCUGAACCAGCCAAGUAGCGUGAAGGAUGACUGCCCUAUGGGUUGUAAACUUCUUUUAUAUGGGAAUAAAAUGUUCCACGUGUGGGAUUUUGUAUGUACCAUAUGAAUAAGGAUCGGCUAACGCCGUGCCAGCAGCCGCCGUAAUACGGAGGAUCCGAGCGUUAUCCGGAUUUAUUGGGGUUAAAGGGAGCGUAGGUGGAUUGUUAAGGCAGUUGUGAAAGUUUGCGGCUCAACCGUAAAAUUGCAGUUGAAACUGGCAGUCUUGAGUACAGUAGAGGUGGGCGGAAUUCGUGGUGUAGCGGUGAAAUGCUUAGAUAUCACGAAGAACUCCGAUUGCGAAGGCAGUUCACUGGACUGCAACUGACACUGAGGCUCGAAAGUGUGGGUAUCAAACAGGAUUAGAUACCCUUGUAGUC
rnacentral:rRNA from 1 species